GUCUACGGCCAUGCCACCCUGCACACGCCCAAUCCCAUCUGAUCUCGGAAGCUAAGCAGGGUCGGUCCUGGUUAGUACUUGGAUGGGAGACCACCUUGGAAUAUCAGGUACUGUAAGUG
rnacentral:rRNA from 1 species